GUGAAUGUAGUUUAAGAAAACCCCUAGAUUGUGAUUCUAGAAAUAAGAGGUCGUAUCUCUUCCUUCACC
rnacentral:tRNA from 1 species